UAUACUGUUGUAAACACAGCUGCCUUAUAGUGCGCAAGACACUCUUCUGAGCCUACCUAGGUAUGCUCUCCAACAAAGGAUACCAAGAGAAUAAGUACAUUUUGAUAAUGGGGGUAAAAUUUACUUUUUAAUCAAAUACUCUGCCUAAACCAUGAACUGUUAAUUAUAACUUUCAUGUACCUUUAAAGCCUGAGUGUUUAGGGUGUUAGCUUUUUUUGUAAUAUUCUAUCAUUUUUUUAACUAAAAAAUAGUUAUACAAACUAA